rnacentral:rRNA from 1 species
CAGCGUCACGAGUGGCAACCAUAUUUAUUGGGCCUAAAGCGUCCGUAGCCUGUUUGAUAAGUCUUUUGUGAAAUCGUUGCGCUCAACGUAACGUUGUGCAAGAGAUACUGUCAGACUUGGAAUUGGGAAGAGUUAGAGGUAUUCUGGGGGGAGCGGUAAAAUGCUAUAACCCCUGGAGGACCACCAGUGGCGAAAGCGUCUAACGAGAACAACUUCGACGGUGAGGGACGAAAGCCAGGGGAGCAAAACGGAUUAGAUUCCCGAGUAGUCC